UGGGGAAUUUUGGACAAUGGGGGCAACCCUGAUCCAGCAAUGCCGCGUGUGUGAAGAAGGCCUUCGGGUUGUAAAGCACUUUUGUCCGGGAAGAAAUCGCACCUGAUAAUACCGGGUGUGGAUGACGGUACCGGAAGAAUAAGGACCGGCUAACUACGUGCCAGCAGCCGCGGUAAUACGUAGGGUCCAAGCGUUAAUCGGAAUUACUGGGCGUAAAGCGUGCGCAGGCGGUUGUGCAAGACCGAUGUGAAAUCCCCGGGCUUAACCUGGGAAUUGCAUUUGUGACUGCACGGCUAGAGUGUGUCAGAGGGGGGUAGAAUUCCACGUGUAGCAGUGAAAUGCGUAGAGAUGUGGAGGAAUACCGAUGGCGAAGGCAGCCCCCUGGGAUAACACUGACGCUCAUGCACGAAAGCGUGGGGAGCAAACAGG
rnacentral:rRNA from 1 species